rnacentral:rRNA from 1 species
GGGGUGCAGCAGGCGCGAAACCUUAGCAAUGUGCGAAAGCACGACUGGGUCAGUCCGAGUGAUUCCUGAUAAAGGAGUCUUUUGCCUGUCCUAAAAGCACAGGUGAAUAAGGGGUGGGCAAGUCUGGUGUCAGCCGCCGCGGUAAUACCAGCACCUCGAGUGGUCAGGACGUUUAUUGGGCCUAAAGCAUCCGUAGCCGGCUCUGCAAGUCUUCGGUUAAAUCCACCUGCUCAACAGAUGGGCCGCUGGAGAUACUACAGAGCUAGGGAGUGGGAGAGGCAGACGGUAUUCAGUGGGUAGGGGUAAAAUCCUCUGAUCCAUUGAGGACCACCAGUGGCGAAGGCGGUCUGCCAGAACACGUUCGACGGUGAGGGAUGAAAGCUGGGGGAGCAAACCGGAUUAGAUACCCGGGUAGUCCCAGCUGUUACAGCGAUGCAAAGCUCCGGUGAUNCAUUGGCUUAUGGC